CUUGACUACUGAAGAAAACAGGUUUUCCAAAGGAAGCUCCACAGGAGGACAAAGCGCCAGAAAACCCGAGGCCUGGAUCAGAAGCGUUUCCGUUUCCGCCGGCCGCCAGGGGUGCACUGAGCACCUCCCGCUUCCUGGCCGAUGUCACAGGUUCAAGGACUUGCAGGAAAAGGAAAAAGCCACCGUCCAAUGAAGGUCCGCCCCAGCACACUGAUGGGCACGGUCCCCAGUGCAAACUCAAUGCAAUCGGAAAAUGGAACCCAUGCGCUGGAGGGACCUGUGAGGCCACCCCUUCGUCUGCUGAGUGUCCGGCUUCCUUGAGCACAGGCCCAGCCGGAACCCGCGAAGCAAGCAAUUGCCACAGGACACAAGCGGCUGCCACAUCAGGUCCUAAGGGAGGAGAAUGUCCGCCUGUCAGGCACCAGGUCCUAAGGCAGGAGAAUGUCCGCCUGUCAGGCACCAGGUCCUAAGGCAGGAGAACGUCCACCUGUCAGGGUGAACUGGCUGGCUCAGGAGGCAGCGAAGGGAAAGAGACUAGUAAUUUCACGGGAGCAGCUGAGCCCUGUCAGGAAGCUGACUGACUCCCUGAAGGCCCAGAAGGGCUGGCUGCCAGCCCGCUGCUCCUGGGAGAGCCCUGGUCACAGGCGGGAGCUCUGGCCACCUGACAGGACAGCUGUCUGCCCGCCCAGCCCAGGAGACAUGUGAGCCGUGUGUGCAAUUUACAAGUAGAAUGAGCAACACAUAUAUAAUUUAGGAAUAUAUUGCGAGCCAUGUAUGUAAUUUAGAAUUAUAUUGCAAGCCUCACAUGUGAUUUAACAUUUUUUUUCUAGUAGCCACAUUAAAAAGAUAGAAAAGAAACA